rnacentral:lncRNA from 1 species
GGACACAUCUCAUUCGUAUCUAACAAUCUGUGUGGAGCAACCGAACUGACUCCCUAUGCACAUGAAGAAGUGGAAAGGAAAGCAGUGAUCAGGAGUCCCUGGCUGGUUUCCCAUUCUCUUCCACAAACCUGGCAGGAGGGAAAGAAUGAGAGGGCUGAGAGAUAAAUGACUUUGAUCACCCAAUUCACAAAAGAGAGAACUCUCAGUAGAGAAACACAAAAGGAUAGAACCAACUCCCUCAUGUCUAAAUCCCAAGGUAAGAAACAUCAUCAACUCAUGCAAAUGGAAAUGAGGAGAAAGGAUUCCGACACUUCUGUGACUAUAGCCAAAAGCUUUACAACAGGAACAACUCAUUACAGAAACAACUUGGUAUAUCAGAUAGAGCAACGGAUUGGAGCCAGAAAGACUCAAACUGAAAUCCCACCUUAGACACUUGCUGGCUGUGUGACCCAAGGCAAGUCAUCUCUCAGACUC